CUUGCUCCUCUGACGUUAGCGGCGGACGGGUUAGUAACACGUGGAUAACCUACCUAUAAAACUGGGAUAACUUCGGGAAACCGGAGCUAAUACCGGAUAACAUGUUGAACCGCAGGGUCAACCGUGAAAGACGGUCUUGCUGUCACUUAUAGAUGGAUCCGCGCCGCAUUAGCUAGUUGGUAAGGUAACGGCUUACCAAGGCAACGAUGCGUAGCCGACCUGAGAGGGUGAUCGGCCACACUGGAACUGAAACACGGUCCAAACUCCUACGGGAGGCAGCAGUAGGGAAUCUUCCGCAAUGGGCGAAAGCCUGACGGAGCAGCGCCGCGUGAGUGAAGAAGGUCUUCGGAUCGUAAAACUCUGUUAUUAGGGAAGAACAAAUGUGUAAGUAACUAUGCGCGUCUUGACGGUACCUAAUCAGAAAGCCACGGCUAACUACAUGCCUGCACCCGCGGUAAUACGUAGGUGGCAAGCGUUA
rnacentral:rRNA from 1 species